CAAAAAUCUUUAUUCUCUGUUCAAACGCGCGCGGGGAGGUAAAAAUCUUCAUUCUCCGUUCGACAAGACAAAGGUUCUUUGCAAAGAGAACUUUGUCCUCUUCGAGCCAUUCUCUGUUCGACAAGAUGAAGUAAAUAGUCAAAGCCAUCGCAUCGGUUUUGAUUGUUUUCUCCAAAAUCCUCUUCGAGCGUUCUAUAGAGAAGAGAACGGUUCUGCGACAGAGGUCGCUUCCCUCGUCGGAAGAGAGAUCCGACCUUAUUUUCCAAAUCCAUCGAUCUGCCUUUAUUUCCAGAGAGCGGAAUCUGAUGAAGUACAUGUUCUUGCGGUUGACGAUAGUUUUGUUGAUCGGAAAGUAAUUGAGCGUCUGCUCAAGAUCUCUUCUUGUAAAGUUACUGUCGUGGAUAGCGGAAGGAGUGCUCUAAAAUUUCUGGGUUUGGAUGGGGAAGAAAACUCUGCAGUCGGCAUGGGUGUAAGAGAAUUUA